AACGAACGCUGGCGGCGCGUUUUAAGCAUGCAAGUCGAACGGCAGCGCGGAGCAAUCCGCGUGAGAGUGGCGAACGGGUGAGUAACACGUAGGUGAUCUCCCCUGGUUUUGGGGAUAGCCCGUGGAAACACGGGGUAAUACCGAAUACGCUCCUGGGGCUGUAGCCCUGGGAGGAAAGGCGCGGAUGCGCCGAACCGGGAUGAGCCUGCGGCCCAUUAGCUAGUUGGCGGGGUAAGAGCCCACCAAGGCGACGAUGGGUAGCCGGCCUGAGAGGGUGAACGGCCACACUGGGACUGAGAUACGGCCCAGACUCCUACGGGAGGCAGCAGCUAAGAAUCUUCCGCAAUGGGCGAAAGCCUGACGGAGCGACGCCGCGUGGACGAUGAAGGCCGAAAGGUUGUAAAGUCCUUUUCUCUGUGAAGAAUAGGGGUGCGAGGAAAUGCGCGCCUGAUGACGUUAGCAGAGGAAUAAGCCCCGGCUAAUUACGUG
rnacentral:rRNA from 1 species